rnacentral:rRNA from 1 species
GACGAACGCUGGCGGCGUGCUUAACACAUGCAAGUCGAACGGAAAGGCCCUGCUUUUGUGGGGUGCUCGAGUGGCGAACGGGUGAGUAACACGUGAGUAACCUGCCCUUGACUUUGGGAUAACUUCAGGAAACUGGGGCUAAUACCGGAUAGGAGCUCCUGCUGCAUGGUGGGGGUUGGAAAGUUUCGGCGGUUGGGGAUGGACUCGCGGCUUAUCAGCUUGUUGGUGGGGUAGUGGCUUACCAAGGCUUUGACGGGUAGCUGGCCUGAGAGGGUGACCGGCCACAUUGGGACUGAGAUACGGCCCAGACUCCUACGGGAGGCAGCAGUGGGGAAUAUUGCACAAUGGGCGGAAGCCUGAUGCAGCAACGCCGCGUGCGGGAUGACGGCCUUCGGGUUGUAAACCGCUUUCGCCUGUGACGAAGCGUGAGUGACGGUAAUGGGUAAAGAAGCACCGGCUAACUACGUGCCAGCAGCCGCGGUGAUACGUAGGGUGCGAGCGUUGUCCGGAUUUAUUGGGCGUAAAGGGCUCGUAGGUGGUUGAUCGCGUCGGAAGUGUAAUCUUGGGGCUUAACCCUGAGCGUGCUUUCGAUACGGGUUGACUUGAGGAAGAUAGGGGAGAAUGGAAUUCCUGGUGGAGCGGUGGAAUGCGCAGAUAUCAGGAGGAACACCAGUGGCGAAGGCGGUUCUCUGGGCCUUUCCUGACGCUGAGGAGCGAAAGCGUGGGGAGCGAACAGGCUUAGAUACCCUGGUAGUCCACGCUGUAAACGGUGGGUACUAGGUGUGGGGUCCAUUCCACGGGUUCCGUGCCGUAGCUAACGCUUUAAGUACCCCGCCUGGGGAGUACGGCCGCAAGGCUAAAACUCAAAGGAAUUGACGGGGCCCCGCACAAGCGGCGGAGCAUGCGGAUUAAUUCGAUGCAACGCGUAGAACCUUACCUGGGUUUGACAUGGAUCGGGAGUGCUCAGAGAUGGGUGUGCCUCUUUUGGGGUCGGUUCACAGGUGGUGCAUGGCUGUCGUCAGCUCGUGUCGUGAGAUGUUGGGUUAAGUCCCGCAACGAGCGCAACCCUUGUUCACUGUUGCCAGCACGUUAUGGUGGGGACUCAGUGGAGACCGCCGGGGUCAACUCGGAGGAAGGUGGGGAUGACGUCAAGUCAUCAUGCCCCUUAUGUCCAGGGCUUCACGCAUGCUACAAUGGCUGGUACAGAGAGUGGCGAGCCUGUGAGGGUGAGCGAAUCUCGGAAAGCCGGUCUCAGUUCGGAUUGGGGUCUGCAACUCGACCUCAUGAAGUCGGAGUCGCUAGUAAUCGCAGAUCAGCAACGCUGCGGUGAAUACGUUCCCGGG